rnacentral:lncRNA from 1 species
UCAUUUUCCCUCCCAUAUAAAAUACACAUUACACCCAAACCCUAACCUAAUUUUGAAGCUUCAUCUGCCGACCCUCCCUUUCCCUCAAGACCAAGCUCGCAUCUCUCUUUCUCAAAAAAUACGCCCAGCACCUCACCGUCCAGCAGCUGCCUGGACUCAGCCGCAUCAAGAGACGAGAAAUAAAAGUACUUGAUCAUCUCUCUCAAACACACACGCACAUAGAUAGAGAAACGGAGAGAGGACAGAAAAUUGAGAGGAGAAAAGUUUAUGAAAAAUUAUGGUUUAGUUUUAGUGUUCAUCCUUCACUGAUUUUUAUUGGAAAAGAGAAGUACAAAAAAAAGAAGAAAAAGAACGGACCCUCCCCUCCCAUAGACGAACCCUAGCAGCGACGCCUCACCUCUCCAUCAACUCCGACCAGACCCUCCGAUCCCAUACCCAAAAACCUUGCUGCUUACUCUCACUCUUUCACUCACGUUUUUGAGCACACAUACACACAAAAAAAGCACUUAGCAACAAACGAAAAAAAAAAGAAAAAAAAAUCGAAGUUCUGGUUUUAAAAGAGGCGAUUUAGCCUCAAGCCACUGCUCGGUUCAACUGUUUAUUGCCGGAUUUAUGCUGCUGAGCUCCAACCAGCUGUGUUCUCUUUAUUUGGUUUAAAUUUGGUCCUUGCACCAUUGGGUAUGUCCUCCCUAAACUUGGUACUUUUUCAGAUUUGAUUAAUAUGAAGGUUCAUGUUUUGCUUUACUGAUUAUCUUUUAAUUUAUGUCUUUGGAUUGAUGAAUGUGAGCAUAAUAGUUUAAUAGUUCAAUAAUAUUCUUUUCAAGUCUAUUUGAUGCUACAACAUUUGGCUAAGUUCUGUUGGUUAGGUCUUCAUUCGCUAAAUACAAAUUAUACUUCAUCUUACUCAUGUUUCAUAUUUUAGUUUAAAUAUUUACUUUUAGUUGGGUGAGCACACUGUAUCGAUUUUAGAUUCUGAAAUUUGUUCGAAAGUUUCCUUUUCUAAAGAUUUCAUGAGUUGGGUUAUAUUCUAUUGAUUUGCUUAUGGUAUAGAAAUAUGCUAAUUGUAAUUUUGUGAGGAGCAUUCACUACUCAUGUCUUCGGAUUGCCAAUUUUAAGAUGAGAAUUAAUUAAGUUAGGCCUUGCUAAUACAUUAGGUCAUAUAGCAUGGAUAAGAAGAAUUUUAGUAAAUCUUAGGCAUAAUUUUGAGUUGAAAUUUUGAUUAAGUGGGUUUAAAAUCAUUACUGUUGCUCAUAAAAACUAGAGUGCAUCACUGUCUUCCAUAAUAAUUAUUUAUUCAUAACUCACGUGUCCUCACAAUAAUCUCAAAUUAGUUUAGGAUAACAUCUUUGAACAUUCGUAAUUGCUUUGGGCGUGCUUUAAUCCAUUAUCGUGGUAAUUUUAUACGUUCGCGUGACGUAACUAUGAUCCCAAAAUAAAUCAAAGUACGCGUCUGCGCAACUUUGACCAAAAACAAUCUUAUAUAAUAAAAUGCUAUUAAUUGUGUACACGUACGCAUGACAUGAUUUUGGCAUAAUAAACAAAACGGAUUCACACACGUGAUUCGUUUCAAAGAUAAUUUUAUAUUUUAAUAAUUAAAAACGGAUAGAUAAAACAUGGGAACCAAUAAAACACAUGUUAUCCAAAAUUAAUUCAAGUCAAGUUGCAGUUAAUAAAGCGACUGUGCUAGAACCACGGAACUCGGGGACUGCCUUACACCUUCUCCUCGGUCAACAGAAUUUCUUACCCGGACUUUAUUUUCGCAGACCAAUAAUAAUAGAGUCAAACCUUCAUUUGACUAGGGAUUCAAAUAAAAGGUGACUUGGAACACCCAAAAAUCAAUUUCAAGUGGCGACUCUGUAAAUAAAAUAAUCUCUACUCAAAUUUGUCACUUUGAUUGGAAAAACGCUUUAACCCACAAUCCAUAACACACAUCAUUUGAGGGGGUAAAAAGGAGAGUGACAGCUAUGGCGACUCUGCUGGGGAAUCUCAAGAAUUCGAGCUUGUACAUUGACUUUAUUUGGCUUUAUUAAUUUUUGUAUAUAAUGUGAUUUAUUUGGGCAUAAUGUGCUAUUUGUCCGCUUUUUACCACUUUGAUAUUAUUGAAUUAUACAUAUAAAUUGUCUUCUCUUGCACCUUUCUAAGUCUUCUUGAAUUAAAAUUGGGCAUUUGCUUGACAUAACCCGCUUUCUUUGAGAUAGCCGAGGUGCUUGUCACCCGGUGAAGAAUUUUAGUUACACAUAUUUUAGGCGGGGAGCACCAUCAGCUAAGCUGAAAAGCAAUGCUACCGGUAUCAGACUCAAGAUCAAGUUUCAGAAGACUUAGAGAUAGGAACCUUGUAACUCACAGCUGAUAGGCUUGUUUAGUUUUUUUUCAUUUUAAUUAUGGUGUAAUAAGGAGUUCAGCAAGCAGCAAUAAAAGUGAAAUCACAGUUUCCCGAUAAUCUCAGCUACCACAACUCCUUGAACUACACGCGACCUGAUUCCUUAUAACCCGGGAUAUGUAGGCUGCCCAAACCAGGACUCGGUUGUACUAUUUUCUCUUAUCUCUUCCCUUUUGAAUAACGGUAUGACCAAAAAUUAGUCAUAUCGCUCAUCUUUUCUUUGUAUGAAAACUCUACGUGUUUCCAAGCAAAGAGGCGCAUGUUGUGAGCACUUAAUUUUUGAUCAUGUUUGAAUUUUUCCCACUCAUCUCACCAAUACCUCACUUCUCACUCCACUUUCCCUUGCUCCCCAAUUUUUGUCCCCCCUCCCCUCCCCCACCACUCUUUAUUCCCACUCCACUUUCUAUUGUCCCCCAUGCUUGUCCCCCAUUCACCUCCCUCUCUUACAAAAACACAUCAUCUCCACAAUCCCAGAGGAGAAGAAGAACGGAUCAUCUCUCUUUACAAAAAACCAUAGCCGCCACCCUCUCAUUCUUCACACCCUCCAAUCCGCCUACACUCCUCACACUCGCCUCUCUCAACUCACUCAUAUAGACACACUCUAACACACUUAGCCAUCAUCCUUUACACUCUAAAGAAAAACACAACAUCAGAGAGAAACAAAAUAGUAGCUAAAAUAGCUUUCAGUUUUCCCUUUGUACGUUCCAAAAAUGAAACGAGUCCCCUUUGGUGUUUAGCUUCUAUUUUUUGUCUGUUGGCUCAAGCAUUAUCUGGGUUGUUGGAGUUUUUGAUAUUUGGUGCUGCUGGGGUAUUUGAUUUGAAUUGUUCUGCUGGCUUCUCAUCGUUAUUGCUCUAGCAUUUCAACAUUUAGGUAUUUCUUCUUCUGUUGUAGCUUUUGAAUUGUUUCAUAUGAAUGAAGAAUGUAUGGUUUUUGAGUCUUUAUUUGAAAUUAUUCAACAGUCUUGAUUCAUCCUUGCUUGUCAUAUAUGAACAAUUUGAGCUAUGAUAGUAAAUAUUGAUGACUGAAGCAAGAAGUACGUAUAUAGUUGAGUUCAUACUUGUCAAGUUUUUAGUGUAGUUG